AAUGUGGUCGACAAUAAUGAGAGAGAGGGACUACUAUAAAAUAUAAAACUUUGUAUUUUAUUUUGCAGGCAGACAAGACAUUUUGCUCAAGACAAAACAAGACAUUUUGCUCAAGACAAGACAUUUUGCUCGCAGACAAGAGAAUAAUAUGCAGGAAAAUAAUAGUAUUUCCCGCGACCGCAUGUGCAACGGGUCGUGUUCGUCGGCCAUCAAGGCCUCAUACGCUGUUAAGCGUCUUCCCGCGACCGCAUGUGCAACGAUAUUUUCAACCGAUAUCGCAUUUUGUCUCCAGAAUGCUGCAACCAGUUUCUUAUAUGUUUUACAAUUAAUGCGAUAGUACAAUAAAUAACGAAGAAUUGUCCACGCAGCUUUAUCAAAGAAGUGCAGACAUGGGUUUAAGAGUGCCGUUUAACCUAGCAUCGUAUUCCUUGCUGACUUACAUGAGCUGAUGCUCAUGUUACUGGAUUGAUUAUGGAAGUUAUAUAAAGUUAUAUGCUUGUUAAUUUCAUUGAAGAGCUUGUGCUUCCUUCAACCGAUAUCGCAUUUUGUCUCCAGAAUGCUGCAACCAGUUUCUUAUAUGUUUUACAAUUAAUGCGAUAGUACAAUAAAUAACGGAGAAUUGUCCACGCAGCUUUAUCAAAGAAGUGCAGACAUGGGUUUAAGAGUGCCGUUUAACAUAGCAUCGUAUUCCUUGCUGACUUACAUGAGCUGACGCUCAUGUUACUGGAUUAAAGCCAGGAGAAUUUGUACAUACAAUGGGAGACUGUCUACGUCUACGUCAACCAUAUAAGCGCCCUUGAGGAACAAGUAAAACGCGAACCGCGCGAGUUUCCAAACUUAAGGAUAGUUAGAGAAGUUAAAGAUAUUGACGAUUUCAUUGCCGAGGAUUUCGAAUUGAUAGAUUACAAUCCAUACUCCAAACCCUACAUGAAGAUGGCUGUGUUAAAUAAAACGGUUGCAAAACUGUUGAGUCUGCUGAACGCAGCCAUUGAUAGAUUUAAAAAAAAAACAAAAAGCAAGAACGAGAAAGCAGUCGUGUAACUCUUAGUCUGUCGUGAAACAAAUGAAGAUAUAUCUACAACAUUCUUUUUUUCUGCGUCUCCAUUGUGUGCAGUUGAAGUGGUCGAAGUUUUUCGUCCUUCGUGGAAAAACAAAUCUUUAUAAAAGCUAUUGGAUUACAAGGCUAUUGGAAAUUAGUAUUCCUAUACGAAGGAAUUAAAGGAGUCAAGGAGGUUUAAAUAAAGCCUACGUUACAUCUACACGGACAAAAGGCUUUUUAAGAAAAGGGAGCAGCCGGAAGAGCCUCUUCAAUUCCACAUUUUGAGAAGCCUCAUUGUCAGAUUGAUUGAUGAGUCAAGAGAUAACAGCUGCCAACUUUGAUCUCAUAUAAAACGCAAAGGCGGAAAAAUUACGUAAAUAGUAAAAUAAGUCCCACUAAACCUGCAAACACCACUAGAAACAUUGUACCACAUAUUGAGAAACACCCAUAUUCAAUCCAAGUGUUUGACAGUGAAACUGAUGAAACGGAUACAAGUUCUGACGACGGAAUCAGCAAUGAGGAAAAUCUGCCUAACGCUGAAGAAAUCAAUGAUAAUGAGGAAAAUCAUUCUCAUAACGAUGACGAACUAUUUAACAACCAACAAAUUAACGAUGAAAAUCAGGUUUUAGAUCCAGAGAUUGUUCUCCCACUUGAACAUGUAAAUGUAAACGGCGAUAUACGAGAAAUUUGUGAUUGUAACAAAUUAAUUCGCCACCAACUUAAUCAGUUUGAAACAGAGAUGAGAAACGAAAUAAUUAAAAAUAUAACAAAAUUGCAGGAAAUACUUGCAAUUUUAAGAGAUAAAUAUCCAAGAAAUGAAGGAAACAAUGAAG